ACUGUUGGCACAACCGCCCCCUCUUCAGCUCCAUCAUCAGGUUCCUCCAGGACCCAGACUGCAAGAAUCACUUAACGGCCCUUGUGUUCCUGACAGAGCUGCUUCAGUGCCCAGAUGUGGCAGCCUUAGUGGAUGACUUCACCACCUGCAUUCUGGCAAACUGGUUCAAGAGUGAGGAGCCAGCCACAGUGAAGCCAUUGCUGCAGAUGCUAGAGGUCUUUGCGAAGCAUGAAAACAUGGUAAAAUGGGGCAGGGGCUAAGGGUGUGCGCUCAGGAGAUGUAACCAGGAGAAGGAACAUCUGGUGUGUCCAGUUAUAGAUAGGGUGGGACACACUCUUGGGAUAAAAGAGAGCAAAUCCUCAUGAGGCCAGUACACCACAGACAGGAGUUGGGGCUUGAGCCAUUCAUGAUUUCUCCCUCCCAGGAAAGGUCUCCUGAGGAAGUUUUUUCAUGGGUCAUUUCAGAGAAUAGACCAAGCUAACCCCAGGAUCUCACACAUGUCAUCCAGGUCCCUUGGAGAUUGCUGUCAUCAUCAGGGAUGAGAAGCGCAGUGGCGAUGGAAACUUACAGUGUAGUGGGAGGAGGGGGCCUCCUCUGUUUUCUCCCCUUUCCUCAUGAUGGACACAAGGUACCUCCCCAAAUGCCCUCCUGGGCAGCUCACUCCGAUGGCCACCCAGAUGCUGGGCCAGUCCCAGCUCUGGAAUGAAAAAG
rnacentral:lncRNA from 1 species